UACGAAGGGGCUAGCGUUGCUCGGAAUGACUGGGCGUAAAGGGCGCGUAGGCGGCGAUCAAGGUCAGAUGUGAAAUUCCUGGGCUUAACCUGGGGGCUGCAUUUGAUACGUGGUGGCUUGAGUGCGGAAGAGGGUCGUGGAAUUCCCAGUGUAGAGGUGAAAUUCGUAGAUAUUGGGAAGAACACCGGUGGCGAAGGCGGCGACCUGGUCCGUGACUGACGCUGAGGCGCGAAAGCGU
rnacentral:rRNA from 1 species